GGAGAGGUGGCCGAGUGGCUGAAGGCGCACGCCUGCUAAGCGUGUGAAUGGGUGACUGUUCCGAGGGUUCGAAUCCCUCCCUCUCCGCCA
rnacentral:tRNA from 3 species